rnacentral:tRNA from 1 species
GGCUCCAUAGUGUAGUGGAUAGCACGUCUGCUUUACACAGAGAAGGUCCUGGGUUCGUGCCCCAAGUGGACUCA